rnacentral:lncRNA from 1 species
AAAAAAAAGAAAAAAGAAAAAGCCAACUCUAUGCUGCCUAUAAAGGAUUUACCUUAGCUUCAAAAACAGUAAUGGGCUGAAAGUGAAAGGAUGGAAAUAUACAUUUCAUACAAACAUCGUCCAGACAAAAAGUCAGAAAAAGAAACAUUAGAUUUGAACUGUAAUUUAAAUCAGAUGGACCUAACAGACAAAUAUUAAAUAUUUCUUCUAACAGCAGCCACAUGCAUAUUCUUCUCAAGCACACAUGAAAUACUCUAGGAUAGGUCAUACUUUAGGCCACUAAGCAAGUCAUAACAAAUGUAGUAAGAUGAAAAUGGGGCCAUUAAAGGGACUUUGGCUUUUACUAUAAGUGACAUAAAAAACUAAUGAGGAUUUUGAGUAGGGCAGUAAAAGCUCAAAAGGAAUUCCUUUUUUCUGAGUUCACUACACGUUCUAAUAAAAAUAUUCAGUGACUAAAUAAAAG